rnacentral:rRNA from 1 species
CUUCGGGGUACACGAGCGGCGAACGGGUGAGUAACACGUGAGCAACCUGCCCCUGACUCCGGGAUAAGCGGUGGAAACGCCGUCUAAUACCGGAUACGACCCGCCACCUCAUGGUGGAGGGUGGAAAGUUUUAUCGGUCAGGGAUGGGCUCGCGGCCUAUCAGCUUGUUGGUGGGGUAACGGCCUACCAAGGCGAUUACGGGUAGCCGGCCUGAGAGGGCGACCGGCCACACUGGGACUGAGACACGGCCCAGACUCCUGCGGGAGGCAGCAGUGGGGAAUAUUGCACAAUGGGCGAAAGCCUGAUGCAGCGACGCCGCGUGGGGGAUGACGGCCUUCGGGUUGUAAACCUCUUUUACCACCAACGCAGGCUCCACGUUCUCGUGGGGUUGACGGUAGGUGGGGAAUAAGGACCGGCUAACUACGUGCCAGCAGCCGCGGUAAUACGUAGGGUCCGAGCGUUGUCCGGAAUUAUUGGGCGUAAAGAGCUCGUAGGCGGCAUGUCGCGUCUGCUGUGAAAGACCGGGGCUUAACUCCGGUUCUGCAGUGGAUACGGGCAUGCUAGAGGUAGGUAGGGGAGACUGGAAUUCCUGGUGUAGCGGUGAAAUGCGCAGAUAUCAGGAGGAACACCGGUGGCGAAGGCGGGUCUCUGGGCCUUACCUGACGCUGAGGAGCGAAAGCAUGGGGAGCGAACAGGAUUAGAUACCCUGGUAGUCCAUGC